CCUACGGGCGGCAGCAGUCGAGAAUCAUUCACAAUGGGGGAAACCCUGAUGGUGCGACGCCGCGUGGGGGAAUGAAGGUCUUCGGAUUGUAAACCCCUGUCAUGUGGGAGCAAAUUAAAAAGAUAGUACCACAAGAGGAAGAGACGGCUAACUCUGUGCCAGCAGCCGCGGUAAUACAGAGGUCUCAAGCGUUGUUCGGAAUCACUGGGCGUAAAGCGUGCGUAGGCGGUUUCGUAAGUCGUGUGUGAAAGGCGCGGGCUCAACCCACGGACGGCACAUGAUACUGCGAGACUAGAGUGAUGGAGGGGGAACCGGAAUUCUCGGUGUAGCAGUGAAAUGCGUAGAUAUCGAGAGGAACACUCGUGGCGAAGGCGGGUUCCUGGACAUUAACUGACGCUGAGGCACGAAGGCCAGGGGAGCGAAAGGGAUUAGAUACCCCAGUAGUC
rnacentral:rRNA from 1 species